CCACCUCCCUCCAAGUAUAAGCCAUUUUUCAAACUCUUCAAACCACCUAUUCUCACAAUACGCAUUCAACCUGAGCUUUGCAGGUGGGCCCAGGUUCAAGAAAGACCCAAAAAGGUUAGCUUUCCUUCUCCCCCUGCCCAGGCAGAGAACAAAAAGAUGGGCAAUCCUCCACCUUCUUGCUCAUUCAGGAAGAUAUUCUCCCCAAAAAGUGGUUCAGGUGUGAACAUCUGUCAAACAUCUUCCACAGUGAAGAGCAAAGCAUUCUUGUAGCUUCUCUAUGGUCUCCCUAUCUUCCUUCAACAAUCAUCCUACACAUUGACUAACGAUUCAGCAGCCUUCCUGGAUUUUCUGCUUGUGAUGUAAAGGAAUCUGUAUUGUUUGUUUGUUUGUUUUAAACUUUUCACAGUCUUGUUAGGAACGCAGGAAGCUGCCUUACGCUGAAUUAGACCAUAGUUCCAUAUUCGUCAGUAUUGUCUAUGCCGAACCACAAUCCUUCUCCCAUUUAUUGACAACAUAAACUUCCAUUUUCUAGACAUCAUAAUUUUAAUUAUGCACACCUAUAAAAAGACAAUAACAUAUUUACUUUAUAAUCUUGCUAUUACUUAGGAGGUAAUAUCCAGCACAUCUACUCAGAAGUAAGCCCCAAUGGAGCUUACUCCCAGGUAAGUGUCUAUCGAUCUGCAGUCUUCUAAAAAAUAUUGGGUUGCUUCUGCUGACACCAGGUACUGUGCUGUUGAGGAAUAGGAUCUGUUUCAUAAGCCUAGGCUAAUGUGAAAAGGGCUGAGCCAUUUCAGGGCUGUGCUUGUUUUUGCCAAGAUAUACAAAGCUUCCAAUUUCAUACUGGCCAAGCAGCCAAUAAAACUGCCAAAGAUGUGUCAUGUCACAAGGUUCAGAAACACUUGUCCACUUUGAUCCUAUUUUUUGAACAAUACGGUUAGACCUUCAGAAAAUGUAGAUGUGCUU